AUAGUUUCCUGGUGUGGGAGAUACUACAAUCCCCAGAGAAGAUGGUUCUCCCAAGGCAAUGAUUAUCCAUUUCACUCUGGAUGUGCUCACCCAGGGUUUUCCCCAGAUGCAGGAAAGAUGGCUGCAUAAUUUGUGAUAAUCGGGGGCUGUGUUCACACUCUCCCCUG